UAUAUAUGAUGAAGAAUAUAUAUAGACAACAUUGAUUUUAGCAUUGGCAAAUUGGCUUAGUCUCGUAAUGAGGAGCCUAUAAAACGUAGCUAGAUUCAUAGACAUAUUUUUGGGCAUUCUAAAAUGUAUUGGAAUAAAUGACCAAACAUGGACAAUUUUGACAAUUUCUUCACUUAUUGGCGAACAAGUUGCUUGCAAAAAAAAAACAAGUCUUGCUGGCACCAUGAACAAAGUGGGAUGAGAGAUCCCACCUUCUGCGCAAAAGAAAACCGGAUACUAUUACGCACUACAACCAAACAAAGGCCCACCCCUCUCCCCCAUCUCAUCGACAGCCAACCAGUCUGAAGGUUCGACCUCGGGGCAGGGGAUUCCAGUACCUGGUUGACUGGGAGGGUUAUGGCCUGGAGGAAAGGUGCUGGGUCUCCGCUAGGGACAUCCUGGACCCAGGCCUCAUCUCUGAAUUCCAACGCCGACACCCUGCUCAACCAGGCUGUCUUAAUGAGCUGCUGUUAUACAGAACAGGACCUAUCAGAGGAGACCGAAGAACUAUCACUGGAUUCUCCCUGAACAAUGAGGCCAGGCCUUAAUGAUCUAAUCAAAGGACCUGCUCUCAAAUGGGCACAACGGAUGGUAGAGGGACAUGGAUGGAGGGAGACAGAAUGAGAGAGAGGGACAGGGAGAGGGAGAGAAAGAGAGAG